GCGAGGUAGCUCAGCUGGUUAGAGCGUCGGAUUCAUAAUCCGGAGGUCAUGGGAUCAUGCCCCAUUCCC
rnacentral:tRNA from 1 species